rnacentral:rRNA from 1 species
GGGAUCGGAUUCAACUGUAUUCCGGUAUAGUCCAGGCCGCUCCCUGCCAGAUGGCGCCGGUCGCCCGCGGCGAUUCACGUCGCUCGCGGUGUCGUUCCCGGCGUUCACUCGGCGGGGCUGCGUAUCGCUCUGGAGCCUGGAGCAGCGCACUUCCUCCCUAGUAGAAACGUCGCGACCCGUUGGGUGCCGGUCCAAGGCCUGGGAAGGCAGACCGUGCGUCCCGCGGCGGCUAGCCCCGUCGCGGUCGCGCGGACUCCCGGUGACCCGGCCGGCCGCCCGACGGUAUGACCAGAGGAGUCGAUCCGCUAAAACGAGAAGCACUUGGGUUCUGUGCAGCGUCCGGCCCCGCGCCGACGCGUGCGGGGAAGCGCCGACUCGUCGGUGCGCCGGUGUCCGUGCGGCGUCACGGCUCCGGCCCCGUCUCGCCGUCGGUCGUCGGGUGUCCUCGGACUGGAUCAGCACUCCCGUCUGCGACGCCCACCUUCGGAUGGUCUCCCG